AUUAUAGCAUUGCCAAAGGAAUUUAUAAAUCAAUAAUUUUCAUUGAUUGUCCGGAUUUAUUUCGUAGGACUUUCGGCUCAUCAAAACUAAUAUUAUUAAUCUUAUAAAAACAGGUGUUUGGUCACGAAAUUUCGGUCGCCAUGGCUCACUAUCAACCCUAUUGCGAGGAAUUGAAGGAUUCAACUGCAACACAAAAAUUUAUUGAUCUUGUAUUCAAUUUGAUACAAGCUAUGUCUUCGCGUAUACCAAGAGAUGCUCUGUACGUGAAUGAAAAUUGCAGACGAAGAAAGGCAAUCCAGGAAUUUUUAGAAUUCCUUGCAGACUGGGAAAAGCUCGAAAAAAAAAUACCUGUGUCAAGGAGCACGUUAACUGGAUUAAAAGUAACUUUACGGGCAACACUUGAAAUUUUGGAUAUGCUGAAUGUUGCAUGUGAUUACAAGUAUUUGAUGACAGCAACCCUAUCUCAAGAUCCGUUGGAGAGAUUUUUCUCCGUCAUGAGAUAUUCGUGUGGAGGAAACGAUCACCCUGAUCCCAAAAUGUUUGCACAAGUUUACCGAUUGGCGUCUCGUUUUUCCCUAAUACGCCCGGUUGUAAUGUUUCCGGCAAGGAUUUGCUGAAGAACUUACUAGGAGCGAAGGAUCUGGUAACCAUUGAUUCAUGGUUAUGAAGACCAUGAUUACAACGAGGCUGUAAACCAGUGACGCGGUUCAGUCUUACAUUGCUGGGUACAUCGUCCGCAAAUUGCGAAUAAUCGUAAAAUGCAAUAAUUGUUUAAAACUCAUACAAAUGAGUCCUAAUGAGGGAAAACUGUUAGUGAGAAACGACGUAAUCGAUAAAAUGGAUUUAUACGGCGGGUUAAUUUAUGCUAGUGACGAUCUAUUCAAUCUGACCAAAAUGAUAGAGAAAUGUAUGUUAAGAGUAAUAAGCAAAGCUUUAACCAAUAUGGAGACGAUCAGUGAAAUUACGCAAGAAUGACUAAAAGGAGCAUUGAUAAAAGUUGGAUGUGUCGACCAUUUCAAACAUAUAUUAAAAAAUGUUAUCGAUAUGUACGUGGUUAUGCGAGCCCACUUUCUGGCAAAAUAUAAAAAUAAACGUUACGCCGCAGCCAAAACCAAAACUAAAAUGAAUAGGAAAAAUGCCAAGUUAUUGUCUUAAUUACUAAUAGUUCGCCCCGAACUAAGAACUCGCAUUCGCUGAAAACUACCGCGCAGCGCGCACACUCAGGUUUUGAUUUCCAACUCAAUCUCACUAGUGAUACUUAGGUAAGUAAUACUUUAUAUACGAGAUUACCGCCAUGUGGGAUGUUGACUCGACGAUCAUUGUUGCGAUAGUCGUCUCAGCGGACGGUCUCAUAGCGAAGAGUCUCGACCAACACCUAGAGACUGGAACAAGGGUCAGAUGCAGGCAAAUUGUGACAAAACAUUCGCUGAUGUUAACAAGAAAUAACUCAAAAUGUAGUCAAUAUGAUGGGUGCUGAGAAAGGGGCGGCUACAGGGCCUGGGGCCUAGGGCGGCAAAGACUGCAAAUCCGCCACUACAUUAUAUACAUAUAUAAAAAUGUGUUCGGGUGUUUUUUUUUUUUGUUUUGUAAGUGUUUUUUAUAUUUUACUUUUAUAUUAAUAUUAAAAACGAAAAACAAAAAAGAGCCUUUUAUUUCUCGCCGGUAAAACAAACACAAUAUUAUAAACUUAAAUUUACAUUAGGUUUAGUAUUACAAUAAUAUUUAAUAUUCCUCAAAUCAAUGUUCUAUUAUGCUUGGUUAUGUAAUAAGUAGUAAGUAAUUAUAUUUUUUUCUUGUAAUUUAUUCUGCAACAACCCCUCCUGUGAGGGUGAAGGCCUCCUCCAGUGAUGCUGGUCAUCACAAUUUCUGUUCUCUAUCUUUUUCAACUUACAUAUGUAUAUCAAUAUUAAUUUAUAUAUUGGUAUUAAAUACCUACAAAUACAAAUAAUAAAAAGCUAAUAAAUACUCUUAUCGGGAUUCGAACCCGGGACCUCCUGCUUCAUAAGCGGGGUCACUACCGACAAGGCUAAAAGACCGUCAAUAAUUGGUUCACGAUGCACAGUGGCGCCGCGGCGCGGCCUAUUUAAUGUUUUUGAGGGACACUUUUUAAUACAUGAAGAUUGUUUUCCUCAUCUCUA